rnacentral:rRNA from 1 species
CCUACGGGUGGCAGCAGUGAGGCAUAUUGGUCAAUGGGCGCGAGCCUGAACCAGCCAAGUCGCGUGAAGGAUGACUGCCCUACGGGUUGUAAACUUCUUUUAUAAAGGAAUAAAGUGAGGCACGUGUGCCUUUUUGUAUGUACUUUAUGAAUAAGGAUCGGCUAAAUCCGUGCCAGCAGCCGCGGUAAUACGGAGGAUCCUCGCGUUAUCCGGAUUUCUUGGGUUUAAAGGGAGCGGAGAUGGGUUGUUCAGUCAGUUGUGAAAGUUUGCGGCUCAACCGUAAAAUUGCAAUUGAUACUGGCAGUCUUGAGUACAGUUGAGGUAGGCGGAAUGCGUGGUGUAGCGGUGAAAUGCGUAGAUAUCACGAAGAACUCCGAUUGCGAAGGCAGCUUACUAAACUGCCACUGACAUUGAUGCUCGAAAGUGUGGGUAUCAAACAGGAUUAGAUACCCUAGUAGUC